GACGAACGCUGGCGGCGUGCUUAACACAUGCAAGUCGAACGGAAAGGCCCUGCUUUUGUGGGUUGCUCGAGUGGCGAACGGGUGAGUAACACGUGAGUAACCUGCCCUUGACUUUGGGAUAACUUCAGGAAACUGGGGCUAAUACCGGAUAGGAGCUCCUGCUGCAUGGUGGGGGUUGGAAAGUUUCGGCGGUUGGGGAUGGACUCGCGGCUUAUCAGCUUGUUGGUGGGGUAGUGGCUUACCAAGGCUUUGACGGGUAGCCGGCCUGAGAGGGUGACCGGCCACAUUGGGACUGAGAUACGGCCCAGACUCCUACGGGAGGCAGCAGUGGGGAAUAUUGCACAAUGGGCGGAAGCAUGAUGCAGCAACGCCGCGUGCGGGAUGACGGCCUUCGGGUUGUAAACCGCUUUCGCCUGUGACGAAGCGUGAGUGACGGUAAUGGGUAAAGAAGCACCGGAUAACUACGUG
rnacentral:rRNA from 1 species